GUGGUGUCAGGGGUUCAGGAGCAGAGGCAAGGGCAAGGGAGGAAACAGAGAGCGAGGGGGAGGAGGCAGAAGAAAAGAUGAGUGAUGACGACGACCCGAGAUCUCCGAGUCUUUCCAGUGAAUCAGAAGAUUCACAGAAAGGAGCACCAGUGGCCAGGGCAAGGGGGGAGCCUAGGGGGACACCCCAGGAAGAUAGAGCCAGAGGGGACUCAGAGGGGAGCAGUUGGAAAUCGGGACCAACGUCACCGCCAGAGAGCAGGGAAGAGGAAGGGCGCCAGGGAUCAAGCGCUGGCAACUCACAACAGGGGGGAGGGCACGAGUCAGGAGUGGCCACACCUCCAUCGGGGAGCGAAGAAACGGUCAGACGGAAGGUGGAAGGUUGGGCGCGCGCGCCAAGUUCAAAUGCACAGGAAGGUGGCGCAGUAGGCAGCCCGGAAAGGGAGCCAGGUCCUAAAGCCCGCCGAAAGGAGGGAGAAGAGUCAGGGAGUCAGCGUCAGCGCCAGAGGAAUCCCGGAAGGAAGAGACCCCGGGGGCAGAGGGACCCAGAGAAGAACAGUCAGGCGGAAAAGGUGGAGCAGGGCUAGGAUAUUAAGUUGGUGUACAAGGGGCGGAGACUCAGACGGAGCUUCGCCGGUCUAAGCAUGAGACGUAGAGUUGCACGCAGCAGCUUGAGAAUGGAAACUGUAACUCAAUAAAGACUUUUGUUUAAUGAUCGCUGGCUAGCGUGAUCCUCUGUGAGCUAGGAUCUGGAAGCAGCUCUGACAGUAAGCUCCGUCUCCUAAAUUGUGGGCAUCUACGGCCUCGCGGAGAGGAGAGAAAGCGGGUGCCUACUAGCGAGCUCACGAACGGCAGACAAUAUGACGGCCGAACAGCAGAUAGCGGAACUCAGAGAAGCAGUGUCACGACUGAAUGCCGAGGCUCUUGCAUCCAGGAAGAGAGAGGAGGACGCAGCUGCCGCCUACAGGGAUCUCCAGGUCAGGUUGGAAGUGCUUACGAAGCUAAGGGCAACUGACACCCAAACCGGAGGGGAUUGGGUUGGGGAGACGAACAGGCGGUCUGGUCUCUCACUUCGAUGGGAAUUUGCAACAGUACCCCAACUUUAGAGCAGAUGUAAUGUGUGCACUGCAACUGCUGAACAAAGACUUUAGAGAUGAGCAAGAGAAGGUGGGAUUCAUCAUGUCCCAUUUGCAUGGAGAUGCUAAAGCAUGGCUGCGCAAUUUGUGGAGAGAUAAGGAUCCGGCGCUCCAAAAUGCGGAUGCCUUUAUUAAAGCGAUGGAUGGGUGCUUUUAUCAAGCAUUGACGUGGAUCUUGCUCGGCAGCAGAUACAUGGACUGAAGCAAGGGAGGGCCAGCGUAAGGCAGUACCAUGCCCGCUUUUCGCUUUGGUCAGUGCUCUGGAAUGGGACAGAGAUUCGGCUCCUGUAAGAGACCUGUUUUGGGAGGGAUUGCACGGCUCGGUUAAAGAUGAAAUUGCGAGGGGAGAGACCCCGGACCACGCAGGAGAUCGUUCAGAGGGCGCUGGCGGUGGGGGUGCGGCUGGAAGAACGUCCGUGGAGCAGGGACGAAGGGCGUGGAGGGCGCGAACCAGCCAGGGGCUCCUCCUUCCUUCCCAGAGAAGCAGCGCGUGCGCAAUCCACGCCUCCGCCAGGAGGAGGAGCGGAACCUAUGGAGGUUGGAGGUGCGAGGGCUCAGUCAGCAGCCAGAGCCCUAGCACCGGCAGCAGUGAAAGCGAAGCCUCCUAGAGGGAACAGGAAGUGUUACAUCUGCGAUGAUCCACAGCAUAUGGCGAAAGAGUGUCCCCAGAGGCUCCACAAGCACACUGCAGCCUCAGCAAUGGUAACUGCAGCAACGCAGCAAGGAGAACCACGGCAGGGAAACGACGGAGUCUGGCUGGAGAAAGAGGCACUGGGGCCCAGCCAGACGUGUCAGUGAAGCAGUCCCCGGAGAUUUUACAGCCCAUGGACCCCCUCCCGCCCAAACCAGUAGUGAGGCUCACCGCGUCGCUCCAGCUGCCCAAUGGCAUCACCAUGGACGUGCCAAUCACCAUUGACUCCGGAAGCAAUGCGGACUUUAUAGGGCAGGACUUUGUCGACCGGCACGCUAUACAGUUGCUGCCUGCCACGCUGCCCCUGCAGGUUGUCACGGUGGAUGGCAGGGAGCUGCUAGGGGGGCAAGUGGUGAAGCAGACGCCACCAAUGGUGAUGAGACUUGGGAAUCACAGGGAAAUCAUCAGCUUCAAUGUCACUCAACUAUCGGACACGCCCAUUGUAUUGGGCAUGAGUUGGCUGGACAAGCACAGCCCGACGCUGGCUUGGUACCAGAGGCAGCUGACCUUCGGCUCUUCCUUUGCGCUGAACACUGCAUCGUGCCCCGGCAGGAAGGAGAGGAAGAGGAGUCACAGCUGCAGCUAGGCACGCUGCAAGCGGUUCCCCACAAGUACGCAGCAUUUUUGGAGGUUUUCUGUGAGAAGGAGGCAGACAGGCUACCCCCCCACAGACCAUAUGAUUGCAGAAUUGACCUGCUGCCGGGGGGCGGCGCUGCCCAAAGGGAAGUUGUAUUCCAUGUCUGAGGACGAACUGCAGGAACUCAAAGAGUUCAUAGAUCAUAAUUUGGAGCGCGGUUUCAUCCGAGUCCAAGGCAGCGGGGGGCAGUCCGGUAUUCUUUGUUAAGAAGCGGGACACGCCCCAAAAAGACUUGUAGUGGACUAUCGCAUUUUGAACAGCGUGACCAAGCCAUCGGACUUCCCCAUGCCCCGAAUCGACGACCUCCUCGCAAAGGUACGGAAGGGCAGCGUGUUCACCAAGUUGGACCUGCGAGGGGCGUACAACCUCAUUCGCAUGCGGGAAGGAGAUGAGUGGAAGACAGCCAUGUUCACGCCCCUGGGCACCUACGAAUAUAGAGUUAUGCCUUUUGGAUUGCAAAAUGGUUCCCACGUUUUCAAGCUUUCAUGCAUCACGUGUUGGCGGGGCUCCUCUACAAGACGUGCGUCUGUUUCUUGGAUGACAUCCUGAUCUUUUCGGAAUCGCAGCAGGAGCAUGACAGGCACGUCAAGGAAGUGCUGAGCAGGCUACAGCAACAUAGGCUUUACGCCAAGCUGGAGAAGUGCCAAUUCGACGUGACGGAGGUGGAUUUCCUGGGCUACAAGUUGUCUGAUAAAGGGCUCGCCAUGGACAGCACCAAGGUCCGAGCAGUGUUGGAUUGGAAAAGCCCACGCAACCGGAAGGAGGUCCAACGGUUUGUCGGCUUUGCGAACUUCUAUCGCAAGUUUAUCAAAGGCUUUGCCAUGCAGACAGCGGCCAUCACGGACACGCUCAGCUCCAAGAAAAAGAAGUUCAUCUGGACAGAGCAGGCGGAGCAGUCCUUUCAGGCACUCAAGCCGUCUCUUCGCGUCGGAAGAGCAACUGCUUCAUGUCAACCCCAGCAGGCCGAUGAGGGUGGAGACAGACGCUUCGGACAGAGCCGUGGGAGCAGUCCUGCUGCAGAAGGACCCGCAGGGGGUUUGGAGGCCGGGAGCGUUUUACUCAAGGAAGCUCAGCAAGUCCGAACAGAACUACACCAUCUGGGACAGGGAGUUGCUGGCCAUUCAUGCAGCGUUCAAAGCGUGGAGGCACUUCCUGAUCGGCGCCAAGCACACGGUGCAGGUCUGCACGGACCACAAGAAUCUAGAGCACUGGCGCACGGCACAGUUCCUGAACCAGAGGCAGAUACGUUGGGCUGAGUUCUUUGCGAAUUUCGACUUCCGAAUAGAGUAUGUCCCGGGGACACCAACAUCAUGGCGGAUGCUCUCUCCCGUAAGCCACAGUAUUUGGAGGAGGCAACGCCAGCGGCCGCCAUGCACAUCUUCGCACCGACAGUGUGGGCGUGCACGGCGGCGACAGUUGACCUGGAGGCGGUGCGACGAGCGUUGCAGGAUGACUCCUUCGCGCAAGCAAAGAUGGCAGAGGCGCACAGGGGCACGGCAGCGACCGACGAGUUCCAGCUGCGAGAUGGUUUGCUCAUCCGUAAAGGGGCCAUCUACGUGCCGGGAGACGAACUUCGCGCCAAGGUACUGCAGCAGCUGCACGACGCGCCCACUGCCGGGCACUUUGGCAAGGAGAAAACGGUGGAAUUAGUAGCCAGAGACUUCUGGUGGCCAGGAAUGAGAGGGGAAGUCGCGGACUACGUGGCGAGGUGUGACACCUGCCAGAGGGCCAAACCAGUGCACAGACCGCCGGCCGGACUGCUGGAACCGCUGCAAACUCCGUUCGAACCAUGGGAGAGAGUGGCCCUGGACUUUGUCACGGAUCUGCCCAGCUCGAGGGGCAAGACGGCUGUGCUGGUGGUGGUGGACUUGUUCUCCAAGAUGGCACAUUUCAUUCCGUGUGCGAAGGUGGCCACGGCGGAACAAACCGCCAAACUGUUCAUAGACCACGUGUUCAAGGUUCACGGUCUGCCGCGGUCUAUUCUGUCCGACCGAGGGCGACAGUUCAUCUCGAACUUCUGGCAGAGGCUGAUGGGCUUCCUGAACGUCAAGAUCAACCUGGCGUCGGCUAGACACCCGCAGACCAAUGGGCAAGCGGAGCGGGUCAAUGCCAUCAUGCAGCAGUACCUGAGAUGUUAUGCGAAUCAACAGCCUGCGACGUGGGUGGAUUACCUGCCUCUCGCCGAGUUCGCCUACAACAACACGAAGCACGUGUCCACGGGGGUCACGCCGUUCUUCGCCAACAACGGGAGGCACCCCAGAACCUUCCCGGGACUGGAAAGAAUGGGGGAGGGGAGCCGCAGACAGCAGAUGCAUUCGCGCCGGAGUUGCAGGAGGUCCACGAUCAGCUGCGGCGGCACCUGGAGCUGGCUAAACACGCAUACAAGGUACAAGCGGACAAACACAGAAGGGUUGGCGAAGAGAUCCAUGUGGGAGACUGGGUCUGGUUAGCAGCCCACGCAGUGCCGGCCAGGUCGUUGGCGAAGAAGAAACUAGGGCAUAAACAACUGGGGCCCUACCAAGUCGAAGAACAGGUCAACCCGGUGGCUUUCAGGCUGGCUCUUCCGGAGGGUUCCAGAAUGCAUCCAGUGUUCCACAGAUCGGUGCUCACUCCCUACAAGGCACCUCACAGGUUUCAGGAACCAGGAACGGCACCGGGUCCGCUCCGAGAGAGAACCGGGCAGGGGGGAGUGGCACGGGAGGAGCGCAUCAACGAAGUCACGGAGAUUUUGGACUCCAGAUGGGGGGAAGAGGGGGUAGAAUACCUUCUCGCCAAGGAGGGCACCCCGGCCAGUGCCAACAGCUGGGUGCCGGGCUACGCUUUAGACGAACCUCUGCUCAAAGAAGAGUUUCAUGCCCUCUUCCCACAUAGGCCAAUGCCAGCAGACUUUUUCGACGACUGGCUUUUCACGCCCACGCUUUCAGCCAGCACGUUCCGGGGUUCGACUCGGACGAGGAACCGACACGAGACGCCCGUUCCCCGGAGGGGUCACCCUCAGGAUCUGCUUCAGAACCCUCGUAUUGGUGGGAUGAUCGACCAGAGGAGCAGUUCCGUAGAAGGUGGCUGGAGGGUCCAGGACGAGCAACGUCUCCAGAAGGCAACGAGGGAGAGACGGACAUGGACUUUUCGGGGACGACCCGGGUUUCGAGCACGGCGGCACAGAGAUGGAAGCGGAGGUGACCGUCGUCAACGAGAGCAGGGAGGAAGAACCGGAAGACUUCAGAUGGCGGCCCGCCACGGGAAGCGAACUGUAUCCGACAUUCGUCCCCUGACACGGCAGCACCCAGAUCCCGCACCGGAAGGAGGGGGGGGGGAAGAGGGGGCUUCGAGGGGGGGAUGGAUGUCAGGGGUUCAGGAGCAGAGGCAAGGGCAAGGGAGGAAACAGAGAGCGAGGGGGAGGCAGAAGAAAAGAUGAGUGAUGACGACGACCCGAGAUCUCCGAGUCUUUCCAGUGAAUCAGAAGAUUCACAGAAAGGAGCACCAGUGGCCAGGGCAAGGGGGGAGCCUAGGGGGACACCCCAGGAAGAUAGAGCCAGAGGGGACUCAGAGGGGAGCAGUUGGAAAUCGGGACCAACGUCACCGCCAGAGAGCAGGGAAGAGGAAGGGCGCCAGGGAUCAAGCGCUGGCAACUCACAACAGGGGGGAGGGCACGAGUCAGGAGUGGCCACACCUCCAUCGGGGAGCGAAGAAACGGUCAGACGGAAGGUGGAAGGUUGGGCGCGCGCCCAAGUUCAAAUGCACAGGAAGGUGGCGCAGUAGGCAGCCCGGAAAGGGAGCCAGGUCCUAAAGCCCGCCGAAAGGAGGGAGAAGAGUCAGGGGAGUCAGCGUCAGCGUCAGAGGAAUCCCGGAAGGAAGAGACCCCG